CAAUAGUGUAUAUUAAAGUUGUUGCAGUUAAAAAGCUCGUAGUUGGAUUUCUGGUAGGAGUGACCGUUCCGAACUUGAUUGUUCGUGUAUUGUGUUUUCUCCAGCCAUCCUUGUGGAGAACUUUUCUUGCAUUAAUUUGUAGGGAUUGGGACCCGCAUCGUUUACUGUGAAAAAAUUAGAGUGUUUAAAGCAGGCAAUCGCUUGAAUACAUUAGCAUGGAAUAAUAAGAUAGGACUUUGGUACUAUUUUGUUGGUUUGCAUACCAAAUUAAUGAUCAACAGGAACAGUUUGAGGAUAUUCGUAUGAACAUGUCAGAGGUGAAAUUCUUGGAUUUUGAUCAGACGAACUACUGCGAAAGCAUUUAUCAAGGAUGUUUUCAUUAA
rnacentral:rRNA from 1 species